UGAUGACAAAAACCAGGCGUAUUUUCCUAAAUUUGUUGUUGUUUUCGGCUUGUCUGUUGCGUUGAUUUCCAUUUUGAUGUUACCGGCCGACGUCGCUAACCGGCAGGCUUGCAAGCAUGCUUUGUAUAAUGGCGCUUGUAACCUCACAUUGCCGAUGAAGGAUCUAUGGCUCGCUAUCUAUAUUGCCGAUGCGGUGCUUGUCUUCUUCAUUAUUCCUUUCGCCAUGUUCUAUUAUGAAGGAGACCAGGACAAGAGCAUUGGCAAACGGAUCAAGAGCGCCUUGAUAUGGGUUGUGGUAAUGGCCAUUGUCUGUGGUCUUCUGUUGGGAAUUUUAUAUGGGCUCGUUGGAGAAGUUGACUUCACCG
rnacentral:misc_RNA from 1 species